rnacentral:lncRNA from 1 species
AGACUCACUCGGCUCUGAACAGUGGGCCGUCUCACCUGGUUCCGAACAGUGGGCCGUCUCUCUCCGGGGCACUGUCGCCGGAAGCUCUGGACGAGGCACUGUUGCCGGAAGUUCUGGACGAGGCACUGUUGCCGGAAGUUCUGGACGAGGCACUGUUGCCGGAAGUUCUGGACGAGGCACUGUUGCCGGAAGGCCUGGACGAGGCACUGUUGCCGGAAGGCCUGGUGCGUGGGGCUGGCUUAGGACGUGCCAGACUAAGGACACGCACCACAUGGCUAGUACGAGGAACAUGGACAGGACGUGCUGGACUGGGCUGACGCACUGAAGCCUGGUGCGUGGUGCUGGUAAUGGAGGUACCAUACUGGAGACACGCACCUUAGGGCUAGUGCGUGGAGCGGGAACAGGACGUACUGGACUGGGCUGACGCACUGGAAGCCUGAUGCGUGGUGCUGGUACUGGAUAUGCCAGCCUGGAAACACACACCUUAGGGCUAGUGCGUGGAGCGGGAACAGGACGUACUGGACUGGACUGGGCUGACGCACUGGAAGCCUAGUGCGUGGUGCUGGUACUGGAUAUGCCAGCUUUGAAACACACACCUUAGGGCUAGUGCGUGGAGCGGGAACAGGAUAUAUUGGACCGUGAAGGCGCACUGGCGGUCUCGAGCACAGUACUGGCUCCACCCUUCCUGGCUGGAUGCCCGCUUUCCCCAGACAAAUGCGGGGCGCAGGUACUGCGCACACCGGCCUGUGAAUUCUAGGCCUCAACGCCGUGCACCUCACUCCAACGCACGGGACCUGACUAAUACUAGGCUGCCCCCAAUAAGCACGGGGAUUUGGCUUGCGGCUCAAUCCUGGCCCUGCCAAACUACCUGUGUGCCCCCCCAAAAAAAAAAUAUUGGGGCUGCCUCUCCGGUUUAAUAGCCAGUCGUGUUCCCCUGUAGCGUUCCCGGUCUUCGCUCCAUUUUUUCCAUGGGCCCUCUCCGGCCAUAAUCUUUUCCCAUGUCCAUUUCUCCCGUUGGUCACACUCAAAUUCCCUUUUCUCCUCAACGUCCACCUUUUGCUCCUUCCUUCGCUGCUUGGUCCGGAUUUGGUGGGAGGUUCUGUAACGGCGGUCGUCAGGAAUGGACCAAGGCGCAGCUACAAACAAAACAAAACGAUGGACGCCGAAGACAGACUUGACGGCACAAGACAGCAAUUCAAGUGACAACCUCCCGCAAAUACAAAUACAAACACACCCUAAUAUAUAGGACUCUCAAUCAAAGGCAACUAGACAACACCUGCCUUCAAUUGAGAGUCCACACCCCAAUUAACUAAACAUAGAAACAGACUAACUAGAAGGAACAUAGUCUAACAGAGCAGUGACCAAAAAACCCCGGAAUACAUAAAUCAACUACCCUCUACAUAAUACACACACCCCGAACCACAUAAACCAAAUACCCUCUGCCACGUCCUGACCAGCCUACACUAACAAAAUAUCCCUCAUACUGGUCAGAACGUGACAUUGACUUACCCCCUAAAAUUGUAAAGGACUUAGAUAAGAUUUUUUAUAAUUGUAUUUGGAGGAACAAGCCUCACUAUCUACGAUAAGAUAUUUUCACUAAUACCCAAGAACAAGGAGUUAUUGAGGUUUUAGAUUUCAAUACUCUAAAUAAUACUUUUAAAAGAAAUUGGAUUCUGAAGUAUGUUAAGGACCAGAACUGUCACGGAAUUCUAGGACCAGUGGAGAUGCGGAAUCAGGCGCAGGAGACAGAGGCCCGGAGCAACAGUGUUUUAAUGCCACGGUAAACAAAACACAAUAGCCGAAAGGCACAGGGCGCUUAAAUAGGUCCGCCCGGGAAACACAUUCCCAAAAGAAAACACGAAGAAAAGCGCACGGGACGCAUCCCGGCAAUAACUCGUACACAGGCCAGCGAAACAGGCCAAACACACAACUGUCCUGAGUGGACAAUAAACAAUACCGCACGAGAACCCAAACUGAAAAUACACACUAAAUAACCCCCCACUAAUGACAGACAGGUGCGGGAUAGACAGACAAAACCAAAAGACACAGAAACAUAGAUCGGUGAGAGCUAAUAGGCCGGGGACGACGACCGCCGAGCGCCGCCCGACGUAGGAGGGGCGCCACCUUCGUUGGAUACUGUGACAAGAACAGUAUUUGGAAUGUCUUCCCUAAGUAUUUAUUUGACUCUGUUGUUGGUUUAGAUUCCAAUAACCCCGAAAGAAUAUGCAAUUGUUUUUGAUGCGAUUCCAAGGGGGGGGGGGUUGUCUCUUAAAUUCCUCUGUGGUUGAUGUAAAUAACAUAGAUUUACAUAAAUAUAUUCAUUGGCAAUAUUAACAUCAAAGAUAAAUGAUGUAAGAAACAGAUCAGGAAUAUUGUUUGUGAUACUACAAUUCCCUCAGCAAGAUUCUUUUGGGCAGAUAUCUAUGGUAAUAUACAAUGGCGGAAAGCAUGGAAAAUUGCUAACAAAUAUUGUAUCAGUAACAAAGUAAAGGAAGUUUCAUUUAAAAUGUUACAUAGAAUUUAUCCUGUGAAAUAUGUUUGGGAAAGAGUCAAGCUGUCACGACCUCGUAUGAAUAAUUAGACCAAGGCACAGUGUGAGUAGAGUUCCACAUUUUAAUAAUAGUGAAACUUCCAAAAACAACAAAGCUAUGACGAUCAUGAAACACGUAGCGCACAUAGGCACUCACACAAAACUAUAUCCCACAUCGCAUGUGGGAAAAAGGACACACUAAGUAUGAUCCCCAAUUAGAGGUAACGAUUAUCAGCUGCCUCCAAUUGGGAACCAUACACACACACCAACAUAAAUAUAUAAUACCUAGAAAUCCCCCUAGUCACGCCCUGACCUAAAACACCAUAGAGAACCCCGAGGGCUCUCUAUGGUCAGGGCGUGACAAGCUGAAUAUAACUGAUUUCUGUGGAAUGGAGAAGGAGACCAUUUUGCAUUUGUUUUUUACCUGUAUUUAUAGCAGAAUGUUUUGGAUUGGCAUACAGCAUUUUGUUACAAAAAAAUAGGACCGGUUGUACUAUUUACUGGUUUUGAUAUAAUGCUUUAUUUCAGAAAUUCUGACAUAAAUAUGUAGUAUAUUUAAUUCAACUGCUAAUAAUACUAGGUAAAUUUCAUAUUCACAAAUGGUCUAAUUCAAAACCUAACUUUUUAACUUUAUAAAUGAGUUUAAACAAUAUGGCAGCACUCUGACUAGAAUGCUUCCCUGUAGCUCAGUUGGUAGAGCAUGGUGUUUGCAACACCAGGGUUGUGGGUUCGAUUCCCACGGGGGGCCAGCACAGGAAAAAAAAAAAUAAAUGUAUGAAAUUGUAUGAAAUGUAUGCAUUCACUACUGUAAGUCGCUCUGGAUAAGAGCGUCUGCUAAAUGACUAAAAUGUAAAAUGUAAAUGUAAAAACAAAAAGGCAAUUAAAACUUGUAUUAUUAAUGAAUAUGAUUGGUUUGUUUAGGAUUCCGGGCAAUGUAAAUAGUUUGUUAGUAUGCUUGUUUGCAUGUGACUAUUCCUCUUUUGUUUCAUGAUAUUUGUUAAUAAAAAAUAAAAAUAAAAAGCCCUGUAAAAGUUGAAGUCAUAUUGAACAACUACCAGAGAGAACCUUCUCUACAUAGGAAUUGCAUACCAUAUUUUUUCCAUACAUCAAAAUAAUACUUUAUUGUCAAUCAGCAAUUACUUACUUAGAUAAGGCCUCAACAAGGCCCCAGUUAAUGGUUGAAAAUAACUUAUGUCAGUGCCAAUGAGUUACACUGAGUGUAUAAAACAUUAAGAACACCUGCUCUUUCCAAGACAUAUGCUGACCAGAUGAAUCCAGGUUAACGCUAUAAUCCCUUAUGGAUGUCACUAGUUAAAUCCACUUAAAUAAGUAUAGAUAAAGAGGAGGAGAAAGCUUUAAAAAAAUAUUGUAAGGCUUGAGAUAAUUGAGACAUGGAUUGUGAAUGUGUGCCAUUCAGAGGGUGAAUGGGCAAGACAAAAUAUUUACAUGCCGUUCAACGGGGCAUGGUAGUAGGUGCCAGGGGUACCAGUUUGUGUCAAGAACUGCAACGCUGCUGUUUUUUUUACGCUUCAAAGUCUCCCUCCCGUGUGUAUCAAGAAUGGUCCACCACUCAAAAGACAAUUUGACACAACUGUGGGACUGUCCUCAUAUACACAUUAUGACAUAAUAAAGAGCUUCAUCUUUCAUGAAAUAAAGACAUAGAAGCAUACCCAAUUAUACAGGUUCUACACAUUCCAUUUCUCCAUGGCAAUAGAAUGUAAACAUUCUAUUUUGCACCAAACAUCGCCUACAACUCAAUUCUAAGUGCAGCAUAUUGGACGACAACACAGUCAUUGAUCAUUUGCAACUUUAAGUCAUUUCUGUUAUCUCUAGAGCAUCCCGUAUAUCUAUAGCGCUGCAUUUCUUCCCCAUCUUUCCAUGGAUAGGGUUUGGUGCAUUCCGGAGUUCACUUAUGGUCCCACAAAGGAAUUCUGUAGAAGCAGCCUUUAUUUUCAGACUCUGCAGGCCUGCUGGGAGGAAACAUAUUACAAUAAACAGAAGAAGGUCAUGGUCCAUUAUCUGCUGCUCCAGAGUCAAGGCCAGGUCCCGCCCCAUGUCACCACGGAGCACAUGAGCAACUGGCUGGUGUCUCAGGGCAAAAAAUCCCUUAGGGAGAGGGUGUGGAAGGAAACCCUGGAGGAGGGAAACGACCUCGCUCGGCUGGCCUGGGAAGUAAACACUUGCCUAAAAAUGAUGGACAUAGAGCACGAGGCUUUCUGCAAGCUCCGCCGCUCCAUGCAUUCCACCUCGCCAGCUGACAUCGAUCCUAAAGUCCACAGCAUCGUGGAGAGAGCUGUGAGGAGCAUUCUGGGCGUGCAGUCCAAUGAGCCCCGUAGCAACCUGCUCAGCCCAUCUCAGGUGGUGGUGGAGGUGGUGCCCAGGCUCCUCCUGGCCCUGUGGCUUCAACCAGAGGAAGGCCAUUCAGAGCACCCAAUCCUAAUAAGCGGGAUGGCCGUGGGCAUGGUGGCGGCCGUAGUGGAGAAGCUCUCCUGCAUGUUAAAGGACCCUUCCCCACACAUCCCUUUCUCUCGGGCUGCUGCUUUUGACUCUGUGCGGUCGAUCCUCGGGAGAAUCAGUCAGUCCUUCUCCACCGAUGACCUCCAGAGCCCUUUUUAUAUGAGCUCUGUCUGUGCCUUUGUGGCGAACGAGGUUCAGAGCCGCUUCCAGCCCCCUGCAUCCACCCUACCAGUCCCCCCUGUCCUCCCGGGGGCUUUCUCCACUACACGACCAGCUGACAUCCAAGCAGACCCAGCGUCUUCCCACCUGAAUGUUGUGGACAUCACCACUAACACAGAGGCAGAUCCGGCUUCUUUCCACCUGGAGAUUGUGAAAGUCACCCCUAACACAGAGGCAGACCCGGCUUGUUCCCACCUGGAGGUUGUGGACAUCACCCCAAAAACAGACGCAGACCCGGCUUGUUCCCACCUGGAGGUUGUGGACAUCACCCCAAAAACAGAGGCAGACCCGGGUUGUUCCCACCUGGAAGUUCAAGACAUCACCCCAAAAACAGAGGCAGACCCGGCAUCUUCCCACCUGGAGGUUGUGAACAUCACCCCUAACACAGAGGAAGACCCGGCUUCUCUCCACCUGAAUGUUGUGGACAUAACCCUUAAUACAGAGGCAGAUCCGGCUUCUCUCCACCUGAAUGUUGUGGACAUAACCCUUAAUACAGAGGCAGAUCCGGCUUCUUCCCACCUGAAUGUUGUGGACAUAACCCUUAAUACAGAGGCAGAUCCGGGUUCUUCCCACCUGGAGGUUCAAGACAUCACCCCAAAAACAGAGGCAGGCCCGGCUUCUUCCCACCUGGAGGUUGUGGACAUCACCCCUAACACAGAGGCAGAUCCGGCUUCUCUCCACCUGAAUGUUGUGGACAUAACCCUUAAUACAGAAGCAGAUCCGGCUUCUCUCCACCUGAAUGUUGUGGACAUAACCCUUAAUACAGAGGCAGAUCCGGCUUCUUCCCACCUCAAUGUUGUGGACAUAACCCCUAACACAGAGGCAGAGCCGGCUUCUUUCCACCUGAAUGUUGUGGACAUAACCCCUAACACAGAGGCAGAGCCGGCUUCUUUCCACCUGAAUAAUGUGGACAUAACCCCUAACACAGAGGCAGAGCCGGCUUCUUUCCACCUAAAUAUUGUGGACAUCACCCCUAAUACAGAGGCAGAGCCCAUCUCUUCCCUCUUGGAGGUUGUGGACGUCACACCUGAAGAAAGGACUCUCACGAUGGCCGUCUUCACCACUCUGCCAGCUGACAUCCAAGCAGAGGAUGUUGCUGUGGUCAUCCCGGAUGUCACCCCACACGUAACCAAGGACGUGACACUGGAUGUUCCAUGUAGAGCUAGGAAAGGGGCAGUCCGGCGAUUAUUUUGCAGGCUUUGGAGGGCAGUGUGCUGCUGCGCCUGCUACAAGGAAGAGGAGGAACAAUAUUAAUUAUUCAUCAGACAUUCAGAAGUGGGAUUGAACCAUAGACCAUUAAAUUAUUCGCAUUAUAAUUGGACUCAAUUCUGCUUUUCUUCUGUUUACUACUUAAUUUCAGAACUUUUCUAUAAACUUUCACUAUGCAAGUGUGGAGUAGGUUUUAUAAAUAAGUGGGAAACAUCCCAAUUUUAAUGCUUUUAAUAAUUUACUUUGUACAUUUAAAAAAAAAAUUGACAACAAAAAAACGCAGGGCGCUCAACCAACGUUGAGUUUCGGUGCAACCAAAAAUUUGAAUCAUCAUUGAAAAGGAAAAAGCACUACUCUUGCUCACUAUAAAAAAAUGCAUUGUUUUAUUCAGGCAAGGUUAAAAGAUUAACGUUUCGGCCUAGUCUAUGACGAUAUCGAAGUUGUGUUUGCCCAGUAAAAGGGUUACCCAGACUCACCCUGGUUCUUGAGGUUGAAGACAGUGAAAAAUGAUCAUUAAGUAAAUGGGACUUUUUAAUUCUUGAAUAAAAAUCUUUAAUGAACAUGAAUUUAAAUACAAUUGACUUGAGGUUCAGAGCAGGCAGGCUGACUGGCUAGCCCUGAAGGCCCUCUGCCUCUACCUCUGUGUGGUUCAUCUCAACCAAGAGGUUGUGUGGGUUGUCUUUCUCUCUGGGGGUGUGAAUCACUAUGACCUCUCCAUCUGCCUGCCAUUUGGCUGAUCAGAAGCCUUCUGCUCUUUCUUGCUCACAUGAACAGGAGGAAUGGCCUCUGGGGUAACCUCCUCCUCUAUCUAACGCCUCUUCCACCUCCUCUUUCUGACUGUGUUCAACUGAGGUCACUCGUUCUCUCUCUCUGGGUGUUGGAUAGUUCCUCCUCCUCUGUGUCUUUGUGAACGGAACGGCGUCAGACUGAUAGAAACUUCACUGUGAAGGAGUGCCAGCCAGUCCUCAGAGAGAGCCCGGAGAGGACAGGGGUAAAUAUGAAAACAGCUGAGGGCUCAGAGACUCAAUCAUCUCAUGAUGAAGUGGACACUGAUUCAUUGGGGUCACCCAUGACCUUGCCCCGCCGUUCACACCGGCAGAGGAGGCCCAGAGACAUUCUAACCUAUAACACUUUAGGGCUGCCAAGCUCUUAUCAGGAUACCAACUAGAGAUGUUCUGAUGUGUAUAUAUUUUCUUGUUUACCUUUACUAAUCACAGUGUGAUAAUGUUUAGUGGGGGUUGCGUUUUUGCCCAUAAGGCAGACUGGACAUGUCUAGAUAGUUAUAUGGCUGUUAGGCCAGUUUCUCCGUUGUUCUCAUGACCAGUACUUACAUCUUCUGUUUGUUUUAAGGCCAGUGAAAUGUUUGGGACAACAUUUCGUUUUUGCAGGGGGG